AAAAAAAAAAAAAAAAAAACAUAUGGACACAUUUUUGGCUGCAAACUCUUUUGCUGUUGCAUGUAAUAUAAAGAUAAGCUUGGAAAAAGUAGAAUGGGUAGUGAUUAAGCUAGAAUGAUGUGUGACAGAAUGUUCUAAUCUGAUUUCUCUUUGCAUGCUAAAUUUUCUCUGCAUUUUUUAUUCUAAAAUGAGCUUACUGAUUUCUCACCUAGAUAACAUAUUCAUAUUGAUUCCUUUUGGUUUUGUGGCCUUACCAUUGGUAUGGCAAUUUUAUGCCUUUUUUUUGUAUGUGCUUGGCUUAUUAUUGGACUCCAGUAUAAAUUGUCUGUUGAUUUUUUGUCAUGAUUUCACUUUCUCAGGAAGGAUCCAGCCAUGAUCGUGG
rnacentral:misc_RNA from 1 species